GCUUUAGGGCCUCUGAUCUUGACACCAUCCUACCUCAGAGACUAAGCAGCUAAGCAAGAUUGGGCCUGGUCAGUACUUGAAUGGGAGACAGUCAAACCCAAGUUCCCAGGAAAGUU
rnacentral:rRNA from 1 species